GACGAACGCUGGCGGCGUGCCUAAUACAUGCAAGUAGAACGCUGAAGGAGGAGUUUCCUUCUGUGGAUGAGUUGCGAACGGGUGUGUAACGCGUAUGUAACCUGCCUGGUAGUGGGGGAUAACUAUUGGAAACGAUAGCUAAUACCGCAUAAGAGUAGAUGUUGCAUGACAUUUGCUUAAAAGGUGCAAUUUUAUCACUACCAGGUGGACUUUCGUUGUAUUAGCUAGUUGGUGGGGUAACGGCUUACCAAGGCGACGAUACAUAGCCGAACUGAGAGGGUGAGCAGCCAGACUGGGACUGAGACCCGCCACAGACGCACUCGGGCAGGAGCAAGACGGCAACUGCAGCAAUGGGCGGAAGUCAGACCGAAAAACGCCGAAUGCGUGAAGAAGGACGUCGGGUCGGAGAGCACUGUUGUCAGGGAAGAAAGAGUGUGAGAGUGGAAAGUACCCACUGUGACGGUAUCUUAACAGGAAGCGACGGCUAACUACGUG
rnacentral:rRNA from 1 species